rnacentral:rRNA from 1 species
AGAGUUUGAUCCUGGCUCAGAUUGAACGCUGGCGGAACGCUUUACACAUGCAAGUCGAACGGUAACGCGGAGAGAAGCUUGCUUCUCUCCGGCGACGAGUGGCGAACGGGUGAGUAAUACAUCGGAACGUGUCCGCUCGUGGGGGACAACCAGCCGAAAGGUUGGCUAAUACCGCAUGAGUUCUACGGAAGAAAGAGGGGGACCCGCAAGGGCCUCUCGCGAGCGGAGCGGCCGAUGACUGAUUAGCCGGUUGGUGAGGUAACGGCUCACCAAAGCAACGAUCAGUAGCUGGUCUGAGAGGACGACCAGCCACACUGGGACUGAGACACGGCCCAGACUCCUACGGGAGGCAGCAGUGGGGAAUUUUGGACAAUGGGCGCAAGCCUGAUCCAGCUAUUCCGCGUGUGGGAUGAAGGCCCUCGGGUUGUAAACCACUUUUGUAGAGAACGAAAAGACACCUUUUAAAAAAGGGUGUUGCUGACGGUACUCUAAGAAUAAGCACCGGCUAACUACGUGCCAGCAGCCGCGGUAAUACGUAGGGUGCGAGCGUUAAUCGGAAUUACUGGGCGUAAAGGGUGCGCAGGCGGUUGAGUAAGACAGAUGUGAAAUCCCCGAGCUUAACUCGGGAAUGGCAUAUGUGACUGCUCGACUAGAGUGUGUCAGAGGGAGGUGGAAUUCCACGUGUAGCAGUGAAAUGCGUAGAUAUGUGGAAGAACACCGAUGGCGAAGGCAGCCUCCUGGGACAUAACUGACGCUCAGGCACGAAAGCGUGGGGAGCAAACAGGAUUAGAUACCCUGGUAGUCCACGCCCU